rnacentral:sRNA from 1 species
AAUUAAAUACUGCCAAAGACAGUAGGUGUAAAAAACUUAAUUUCCUACCGAGGUGGAUAAGAUUGAAAUAUAUAUCUUUCUGCCUUAUUAGGUAGAAAGAUUUUUUUAUAU